AAAAAACCACACACUGUUGCUGAAAACUUGAGGGAACCGUGAUCUCCUCCUUUCUUUUCGUGUGUGAACGUUGAGUAGUGGAUUUGCCAUUAGUGGAGGGGUUCCAGAAGAGGAGAAGCUAAAUUAAAGUUGAGAAAAGAGAAUUUUUAGAACUUGGCAGCAUACCAGAUAGUAGAAGUGAACCUGCUCUUCAUUUGAUCACGUGGGACUCCUUGAAACAAGAAGUAUUUUGUUGCUCCGUCCAGAUUGUGGAUUAAUGUAAAUAUUUAAAUAUUUUAGUUUUGUUCUAGAUUCGCUCCACGAAUCUUAUAGGUAGGAUCCUUGAUUGAAUUAUUCUGGAAUUGUACAUAUAUACUGUAUUGGAGUAGAACUUUGUAUGCCGUAUGGGUAUUCUUUUGGCAGGUUGUAAAAAUUUCAGGUAGUC